rnacentral:rRNA from 1 species
AACGAACGCUGGCGGCAGGCUUAACACAUGCAAGUCGAGCGCCCCGCAAGGGGAGCGGCAGACGGGUGAGUAACGCGUGGGAACGUACCUUUUGGUUCGGAACAACUCCGGGAAACUGGAGCUAAUACCGGAUAAGCCCUAACGGGGAAAGAUUUAUCGCCGAAAGAUCGGCCCGCGUCUGAUUAGCUAGUUGGUGAGGUAACGGCUCACCAAGGCGACGAUCAGUAGCUGGUCUGAGAGGAUGAUCAGCCACACUGGGACUGAGACACGGCCCAGACUCCUACGGGAGGCAGCAGUGGGGAAUAUUGGACAAUGAGCGCAAGCCUGAUCCAGCCAUGCCGCGUGAGUGAUGAAGGCCUUAGGGUUGUAAAGCUCUUUUGUCCGGGAAGAUAAUGACUGUACCGGAAGAAUAAGCCCCGGCUAACUUCGUG